CAGGCGCCCUGCAGGUUGGCACAUUCUAAAAGGAAAUGCUAGACCCCCUAGCUAUGGAGGGCAUGCAAAGGUAUUGGGAAAUGGCCCUGCCAAUAUCAGCCCACUCUCCACCUUCUAUGGAAGAGAGGCCAGAAACAUUCUUUAGGAGCAAGGGCUUCUUUCUAGUGAGUCGUCUGAGUGCUGUGUUCCACAACCCAUCGCAUCUCUACUCUGCCAUGGGAAAUAUGCUCUCACCUUAACCUAAGUUCUUCACAAGAACUAUUUGGAAAUCUUGACCUGUGUCUUCUGGAGUUUGAGGGACAUAGGGGAUGGUGGCUGACUUUCACCACAAGAAGCCUGAAGGUGAAAAGCUAGUUGGAGGGGACUGCCUUGCAGCAGAAUGAAGAGAGAAGGUUCUGUGGCAGGGCACUGCACUUCCUUAGAUGAGUGGGCCAUGGAAUGGAGGGGGCACUCAUUCCUGGGCCACCUGUGAAUGGUGUGAAGGAUGCCACCCAAGAGAACCACUUGAAGGGUGAAGAGAUCUGGCAGAAGGGCACUAUAGCCAGAGGUCCCUAGUAGAUGGAUCUCCGAGGUACAUAUGCCAUACCAGAUGACGACUGUGUCAGUCACACAAGUGGGAACCAUUUGCACCUACUCCUUCCUCAAGGGCCUGAGGAAAGAGCAACUUGGUGAGUAGCAAGCAGAAAAGCUAACCACGACUUCCUUCUGCACUUCAGCUUCCAAGACUGAAGCAAGCCUGUCUAGAGGAAUGAGAGACGUUUGCAACCCAGCGCCUGCUCGUCCAGCUCACUCCAGGUACCACGACCUUGUCGCAGCCUAUUCGCAGUCCAGAGAAACUGAAGGAAACUGAUUGCAUUAGCUCAGAUGAUCUUCCUUCAAAAUAAGGCUGGAUCUUAUGUCAGAAUGAUUGCAGGAAAGAGGCCUGGCCGAAGAAGCAGAGAAACUCUGGCUUCAGAAACGUUCAAGGUUUAAACAUGGACUCUAUCUCCGCAAGCCAAAGUGUCUGUUCUAAAAGAAGAAACUGCGGAGGCUAGUGAUGACCAUUAUGUUAUAAAAGGCCCCAGAAACAGGGUCAACCCUGUGUAAAGUCCAGCACCUUACAAUUUUUGCAACUGGUCAAAAGAAAGAGAGCUACCAUGCAGGAUGAUGCUCAGCUGUGGAUAAUAUCAACAACAAUGGGACGAACAAUUUUGAUGAAUGCAAACUGAAAGAAAAUGCAGCAUAUGAAAUUCACAUUUUGGUAUAUUUUUAUUUGCUAAGUCUUUUCAGCUUUAAUAAACACAUGUCAAGAUAUACCUACUAAAUAUUCUAUCUUCUAUUGUGCAUUUUAGAAUGUCAAUUUUAAACUUAAAGUGCCCCCAAAUAUUUGGAAGAACAGGGUGAGGUGCAAGAACUUUUUUUUUUCAAGAAAAGAAAAUCCAGCAACAAAAACAACAACCAACAACAAUAAAGAGGGGGUAAUGACGUAGAUUCAGAGCUAAGCUUAUCUCACUCUACACUGUAUAACCUCUAUUUCUUACUGUGACAUUCAGAAUAAUAAGUGUACUCAUUAGGACAUUUUUAACCAAGCACAUCUUAACAAAGUCUGUUUUCCUCUUCAAUCUCAGUUCUUUGGUUCUAAGUCUAAAGAAGAAACACCAUUAGGAUUUGGCUUCUGUU